CUAUUGUCCAUUUCUUUCAGACAAUUCAUUGCUGCUGCUGAAACUCGGGCACCAAGUCUCUUGAGCUUCAGUGGAAUGGACUUUCCCCGUGUAUUGUUCAUGGUGUGGAUUGCUGCAUGAACACGACUGCGAUAGUUUUUAAGGCCUUCCCAAGAAAGGUGCUGAAAGCAUCCUCCAUGCCAGCACUACAUUUACCGUCACCGUCGGUUGUACAGCAAUGAACAACAUCCUGUCCCCGGCGAAGUAUCUUCAGUGGGCUGACUGUGUUCUCGACCGUCGGUGCAUAGAUUAUGCCAUCCGAACGCUCACGCACAACAUUGUCAUAAUCAUCAUUACUGAAACGCGACCAGCUACCAUUGGUUUUCUCUGGAGGCAUUGUCCUGCUGUAGGGCGAGUGGUAAGAGUGACCAACUUGAAAUCCACGGCUUGGCUUUUUGCUUAGCUUAGGCAUCUUGAGUUGAAGUUUACUCUGUGGAGUCCACAUGUAAAGUGACCCCCAGAGCAUACCUAGUUGACACUUGAGGAUAUUGGGAUGGUUCAUCAUCAUUGUGCUUCUCUGAAUUGAUGAGCUGCUAAGAUAAACAAAUACCUUAGCCAUAACAGAA